rnacentral:misc_RNA from 1 species
AACGCACAUUGCGCCCGCCAGUACUCUGGCGGGCAUGCCUGUCUGAGCGUCAUUUCAACCCUCGCGCCCGGCUUCUGUCGGGGGCGGUGUUGGGGAUCGGCCUCCCGUCUCCGGGCGGCCGUCCCCUAAAUCCAGUGGCGACCGCGCCGUAGCCUCCUCUGCGUAGUAGUGAAACACUCGCGGGCGGAGAGCGGUGUGGCCCGCCGUAAAACCCCCCAACUUCUCAAGGUUGACCUCAGAUCAGGUAGGAAUACCCGCUGAACUUAA